UUCCUCUCCAACCUGAAGUCUGGAGCAAGUGUACCGCCGUCAUCGAGGCUCGGUUUCGUCAUGAAUCCAGUUUAUUAUUGUUUUCUGCUACAGAUUUUUCACCGGGUCAUUAUCCAGCUUUUGCUGAUUGUUGUGUAUGUUUUUGAUGUUCAUAAAAAUUCACCGUCAGAGAUCAGAAACAGCUCUUCACAUUUUGUGCUAUGUUCAGUUUAUGACUCAGGAGGAUGAUAAAACUUAGGCUCCUUGGAUGAUGAGAUGGUUGUGAAAGAGCUGAGGUAGAGAAGAAACAGAACUGGAAUCAGAGUAUGAGAAACAGGAGAAGAGGGAGAGGAAGCAGAGAGCUUUGAAGGAGAAAGAGCUGGAUAAUACUGCGUACAAGGACUUCAAAGCUUCUAUUAAGCAUUACUCCAAUAGGGCAUUAGAUAUCAAUGUGAGGGAGAAACAGAAACAUGAAGAGGUGAAGCGUUUUAAGGGGACUGCUGAGACAAAGAGGGAUCACACUGAAGAAUAAGAAGAAGAGACCCGAGUGAGAUCAGAGCGUCAAGAUGCAGUGUGAGAGAGAGAGAGAAGCUGCUAGACUGUGAACUACAAGAACAGGCACCUCAUCUUGAUGUAUCUGAUAAAGAACAUGAUGCUACACAUGAAAGACUUUGGAGUGAAGAUUUGACAAGGGAACUGAGAGGAAAUACAAGAUACAUGUCAGUGAAGAUGUUAACUAAACUGAAUGUGAUUUUUAUAUUUAUACUUCCUUUAAUUUAGUUUACGUUGGUUUAAUGUUUUCUUCUGAUUUUAAUAUUUAUACUUUCUUUAAUUUAGUUUACUUUGGUUUAA